AUAUUUACCUGGCAGGAGCCAUUCCAUUAUCAUGAAAGUGGUUUCCCAGGGUGAGGUUCAUCCAUUGCACUCCAGAUGAGUUAACCUCUGCGAUUUCCCCAAAUGCGGGAAACUCGACUGCAUAAUUUGUGGUAGUGGGCGACUGCGUUCGCGCUCUCUCCUG